GCCAAUACUAGCCCUAAGCAUAACCAACACUAAUACCAAACCAACAUACACUAAACCAUUCACCUACACAAAGUAUAGGCGAUAGAAAUUUUAAUCUGGCGCUAUAGACAUAGUACCGUAAGGGAAAGAUAGAAAACCACCCAAGCACAAAACAGCAAAGACUAACCCCUGUACCUUUCGCAUAAUGAAUUAGCUAGAAACAAUUUUACGAAGAGGACUACAAGCCAAACCCCCCGAAACCAGACGAGCUACCCAAAAACAGCUAAAAGAGCGCACCCGCCUAUGUGGCAAAAUAGUGGGAAGAUUUCUGGGUAGAGGUGACAAGCCUACCGAGCCUGGUGAUAGCUGGUUAUCCAAGACAGAAUCUUAGUUCAACCUUAAGCUUACCUAUAGAACUACCUAAUCCCCCUGUAAGCUUAACUGCUAGUCUAAAGAGGGACAGCUCUUUAGACACUAGGAAAAAACCUUAUGGAGAGAGUAAAACCCUCAAUCACCAUAGUUGGCUUAAAAGCAGCCAUCAAUUAAGAAAGCGUUCAAGCUCAACACUAACCACCACAAAAAUACCAAACACAUAACUGAACUCCUCACACCACAUUGGAUUAAUCUAUCACCAUAUAGAAGCAAUAAUGCUAGUAUAAGUAACAUGAAUAUUUUCUCCGCUGCAUAAGCCUAAAUCGGACCGAAAGCCUCACCGAUAUUUAACAGCCAGGCAUAACAAGCACAAACAAGCCCAUGCCACCUUCACUGUUAACCCAACACAGGCAUGCCCCAAGGAAAGGUUAAAAAAAGUAAAAGGAACUCGGCAAACCCAAACCCCGCCUGUUUACCAAAAACAUCACCUCUAGCAUUACUAGUAUUAGAGGCACUGCCUGCCCAGUGACACACGUUUAACGGCCGCGGUACCCUGAC
rnacentral:rRNA from 1 species